rnacentral:rRNA from 1 species
CCUACGGGAGGCAGCAGUGGGGAAUAUUGGACAAUGGGCGCAAGCCUGAUCCAGCAAUGCCGCGUGAGUGAUGAAGGCCUUAGGGUCGUAAAGCUCUUUUACCAGGGAUGAUAAUGACAGUACCUGGAGAAUAAGCUCCGGCUAACUCCGUGCCAGCAGCCGCGGUAAUACGGAGGGAGCUAGCGUUGUUCGGAAUUACUGGGCGUAAAGCGUACGUAGGCGGUUAUUCAAGUCAGAGGUGAAAGCCCGGGGCUCAACCCCGGAACGGCCUUUGAAACUAGGUAGCUAGAAUCUUGGAGAGGUCAGUGGAAUUCCGAGUGUAGAGGUGAAAUUCGUAGAUAUUCGGAAGAACACCAGUGGCGAAGGCGACUGACUGGACAAGUAUUGACGCUGAGGUACGAAAGCGUGGGGAGCAAACAGGAUUAGAUACCCUGGUAGUCCACGCCGUAAACGAUGAUAACUAGCUGUUCGGGCACUUGGUGCUUGAGUGGCGCAGCUAACGCAUUAAGUUAUCCGCCUGGGGAGUACGGUCGCAAGNUUAAAACUCAAAGGAAUUGACGGCUGNGAGNGCGAGCGACACGAGGGAGUAG